rnacentral:rRNA from 1 species
GACGAACGCUGGCGGCGUGCUUAACACAUGCAAGUCGAACGGAAAAGCCCUGCUUUUUUGGGGUUCUCGAGUGGCGAACGGGUGAGUAACACGUGAGUAACCUGCCCUUUACUUUGGGAUGACUUCAGGAAACUGGGGCUAAUACCUGAUAGGAGCUCCUGCUGCAGGGUGGGGGUUGGAAAGUUUCGGUGGUUGGGGAUGGACGCGCGGCUUAUCAGCUUGUUGGUGGGGGAGUGGCUUACCAAGGCUUUGGAGGGUAGCCGGCAUGAGAGGGUGAACGGCCACAUUGGGACUGAGAUACGGACCAGACUCCUACGGGAGGCAGCAGUGGGGAAUAUUGCACAAUGGGCGGAAGCCUGAUGCAGCAACGCCGCGUGCGGGAUGACGGCCUUCGGGUUGUAAACCGCUUUAGCCUGUGACGAAGCGUGAGUGACGGUAAUGGGUAAAGAAGCACCGGCUAACUACGUG